AAAACUAAAAAACAGAAGAAAAAACCCUAAUGCAAUUGCGUACUGAUAGGGAAUCCCAAAUCCGAGGAAAACCUAUUACAGAGAUGAACGCGAGGCGAGCUAUUACCGGGAUCUUUACUCCGGCGAGGCAGGGAAUCAACUCGUUGAGUCAGGACCCGAGUCAUUUUCAGCAAACUAGAGGGAUAAGAGUGAAGGUAAGGGACGGAACUUGGAGCGAGCGUUGGCGAUGAUGCAGCGGCUGAUGCAAUCGAGCGGAAUCGAACGGCUGAUAAAGCAGGAACAAACUCAUCACAUGAAGAACUCUGAGAACGGAUUUUGGCUCGCAAGAAUUUGGAGCGUAAGCUCCGAUCGCAGGACCACGCUCGCAAGCUUCAGAUGAUCCUCGUCAAGAAAGUCAGGGGUCUGUGAGGACAGCUUUGGUGUAGUUUUCUCUGUAAUUUUCCAAACUUUAAUGCUGUUUUUGAAAUCAAGAACCUUUUUCUUUCAUUCUCCCCUUUUUUCCCGAAGCAUGAUGAAUUGGGGGUUGUCAUUUGUUUGUUUGUUUGUUUGUUUGUUUGUUUGUUUGUUUGUUUUUUACUGGUUUGACAGUUCUUUCAUGGUUGGAAAUUGAAGAACGAUGUUACAAAUUUCUGUGCAUUGAAAUAAUUAGAGUUUUGACUUUUAA